UACGGAGGGUGCAAGCGUUAUCCGGAUUCACUGGGUUUAAAGGGUGCGUAGGUGGAUUAGUAAGUCAGUGGUGAAAUCUCCGGGCUUAACCCGGAAACUGCCAUUGAUACUAUUAGUCUUGAAUACCGUGGAGGUCAGCGGAAUAUGUCAUGUAGCGGUGAAAUGCCUAGAUAUGACAUAGAACACCAAUUGCGAAGGCAGCUGGCUACACGAGCAUUGACACUCAGGCACGAAAGCGUGGGGAUCAAACAGG
rnacentral:rRNA from 1 species